rnacentral:rRNA from 1 species
AAUGAACGCUGGCGGCAUGCCUAACACAUGCAAGUCGAACGAGACCUUCGGGUCUAGUGGCGCACGGGUGCGUAACGCGUGGGAAUCUGCCCUUCGGUUGGGAAUAACUGAGAGAAAUUUCAGCUAAUACCUUAUAAUGUCUUCGGACCAAAGAUUUAUCGCCGAGGGAUGAGCCCGCGUAGGAUUAGGUAGUUGGUGGGGUAAUGGCCUACCAAGCCGACGAUCCUUAGCUGGUCUGAGAGGAUGAUCAGCCACACUGGGACUGAGACACGGCCCAGACUCCUACGGGAGGCAGCAGUGGGGAAUAUUGGACAAUGGGCGAAAGCCUGAUCCAGCAAUGCCGCGUGAGUGAUGAAGGCCUUAGGGUUGUAAAGCUCUUUUACCCGGGAUGAUAAUGACAGUACCGGGAGAAUAAGCUCCGGCUAACUCCGUG